rnacentral:rRNA from 1 species
GCAGCCGCCGCGGGAAUACGAAGGGGGCUAGCGUUGUUCGGAUUUACUGGGCGUAAAGGGCGCGUAGGCGGACUGAUAAGUCAGGGGUGAAAUCCCAAGGCUCAACCUUGGAACUGCCUUUGAUACUGUUUGUCUUGAGUUCGAGAGAGGUAAGUGGAACUGCGAGUGUAGAGGUGAAAUUCGUAGAUAUUCGCAAGAACACCAGUGGCGAAGGCGGCUUACUGGCUCGAAACUGACGCUGAGGCGCGAAAGCGUGGGGAGCAAACAGGAUUAGAUACCCCGGUAGUCCCUGUCUCUUAUAC